UACAGAGGUCUCAAGCGUUGUCCGGAUUUAUUGGGCGUAAAGAGCUCGUAGGCGGUUCAGUAAGUCGGGUGUGAAAACUUUGGGCUUAACCCAAAGCGUGCAUCCGAUACUGCUGUGACUUGAGUUCGGUAGGGGAGUGGGGAAUUCCUAGUGUAGCGGUGAAAUGCGCAGAUAUUAGGAGGAACACCGGUGGCGAAGGCGCCACUCUGGGCCGAAACUGACGCUGAGGAGCGAAAGCAUGGGUAGCAAACAGG
rnacentral:rRNA from 1 species